GAUUUCAGUGUAAUGAAGCCCA
rnacentral:miRNA from 15 species